rnacentral:lncRNA from 1 species
UGAGGGUUAGGAUCACGUUUCUGGAAUCUGCAAAAUCGAGCAAUAUGCCCACUUUUGCCAUAAACAAAGUACGGUCCCUUAUCUUGAACUUGUUGAUUUUGUGCUUGGUUAUUUUCACCAUUAUUUUUCUUGGGAGGUCUACUAUUAUUUUUCUUAAAUUUUUUCUUCUUAGGCUUCAAAGAAGUAUUUUUGUGAGUUUCAAGAGUAGCAUUAUUUGAAGUAAUUAAAUUUACAUUCGUUGUGAUGUUGCUCUCUUCUUUUUGUAAAAGUGUAUCUUGACCCCUUGCCUCUUCACCAUCAUACUUUUCCACUUUCUCAUGAUGAGAAAUAAGUUCAUCAUCAUCCAG